GACGAACGCUGGCGGCGUGCUUAACACAUGCAAGUCGAACGGAAAGGCCCUGCUUUUGUGGGGUGCUCGAGUGGCGAACGGGUGAGUAACACGUGAGUAACCUGCCCUUGACUUUGGGAUAACUUCAGGAAACUGGGGCUAAUACCGGAUAGGAGCUCCUGCUGCAUGGUGGGGGUUGGAAAGUUUCGGCGGUUGGGGAUGGACUCGCGGCUUAUCAGCUUGUUGGUGGGGUAGUGGCUUACCAAGGCUUUGACGGGUAGCCGGCCUGGGAGGGUGACCGGCCACCUUGGGACUGAGAUACGGCCCAGACUCCUACGGGAGGCAGCAGUGGGGAAUAUUGCACAAUGGGCGGACGCCUGAUGCAGCAACGCCGCGUGCGGGAUGACGGCCUUCGGGGUGUAAACCGCUUUCGCCUGUGACGAAGCGUGAGUGACGGUAAUGGGUAAAGAAGCACCGGCUAACUACGUG
rnacentral:rRNA from 1 species